rnacentral:rRNA from 1 species
CGGGAAGGACAGUCCUAUACCUGCAAUGCUCGAGCGAACAGCACAAGGGAGCUUGCUCCUUUGACGUUAGCGGCGGACGGGUGAGUAACACGUGGGUAACCUACCUAUAAGACUGGGAUAACUUCGGGAAACCGGAGCUAAUACCGGAUAAUAUUUCGAACCGCAUGGUUCGAUAGUGAAAGAUGGUUUUGCUAUCACUUAUAGAUGGACCCGCGCCGUAUUAGCUAGUUGGUAAGGUAACGGCUUACCAAGGCGACGAUACGUAGCCGACCUGAGAGGGUGAUCGGCCACACUGGAACUGAGACACGGUCCAGACUCCUACGGGAGGCAGCAGUAGGGAAUCUUCCGCAAUGGGCGAAAGCCUGACGGAGCAACGCCGCGUGAGUGAUGAAGGUCUUCGGAUCGUAAAACUCUGUUAUUAGGGAAGAACAUACGUGUAAGUAACUAUGCACGUCUUGACGGUACCUAAUCAGAAAGCCACGGCUAACUACGUGCCAGCAGCCGCGGUAAUACGUAGGUGGCAAGCGUUAUCCGGAAUUAUUGGGCGUAAAGCGCGCGUAGGCGGUUUUUUAAGUCUGAUGUGAAAGCCCACGGCUCAACCGUGGAGGGUCAUUGGAAACUGGAAAACUUGAGUGCAGAAGAGGAAAGUGGAAUUCCAUGUGUAGCGGUGAAAUGCGCAGAGAUAUGGAGGAACACCAGUGGCGAAGGCGACUUUCUGGUCUGUAACUGACGCUGAUGUGCGAAAGCGUGGGGAUCAAACAGGAUUAGAUACCCUGGUAGUCCACGCCGUAAACGAUGAGUGCUAAGUGUUAGGGGGUUUCCGCCCCUUAGUGCUGCAGCUAACGCAUUAAGCACUCCGCCUGGGGAGUACGACCGCAAGGUUGAAACUCAAAGGAAUUGACGGGGACCCGCACAAGCGGUGGAGCUUGUGGUUUAAUUCGAAGCAAACGCGAAAAACCUUUCCAAAUCUUGAAAUC